rnacentral:rRNA from 1 species
AACGCUAGCUACAGGCUUAACACAUGCAAGUCGAGGGGCAGCAUAAAAGUAGCAAUACUUUGGUGGCGACCGGCGCACGGGUGAGUAACGCGUAUGCAACCUACCUAUCAGAGGGGAAUAACCCGGCGAAAGUCGGACUAAUACCGCAUAAAACAGGGGCACCGCAUGGUGAUAUUUGUUAAAGAAAUUCGCUGAUAGAUGGGCAUGCGUUCCAUUAGGUAGUUGGUGAGGUAACGGCUCACCAAGCCGACGAUGGAUAGGGGAACUGAGAGGUUGGUCCCCCACACUGGUACUGAGACACGGACCAGACUCCUACGGGAGGCAGCAGUGAGGAAUAUUGGUCAAUGGGCGAGAGCCUGAACCAGCCAAGUAGCGUGAAGGAUGAAGGUCCUAUGGAUUGUAAACUUCUUUUAUAGUAGAAUAAAGUGAUCCACGUGUGGAUUUUUGUAUGUAUACUAUGAAUAAGGAUCGGCUAACUCCGUGCCAGCAGCCGCGGUAAUACGGAGGAUCCGAGCGUUAUCCGGACUUAUUGGGUUUAAAGGGCGCGUAGGCGGAAAAAUAAGUCAGUUGUGAAAGUUUGCGGCUCAACCGUAAAAUUGCAGUUGAUACUGUUUUUCUUGAGUGUACAUAAGGUAGGCGGAAUUCGUGGUGUAGCGGUGAAAUGCUUAGAUAUCACGAAGAACUCCGAUUG